GUCGACAUCCGCGAGAUCCGCGAGGUGCGGGAGGGGCGGCAGUCACGUGACUUUGACCGCGUGGUGGAGGACGUGGACUCGUCCCUCUGCCUCGUCAUCCUCUACGGCUCCGAGUUCCGCCUACGCACCCUCAGCGUCGCCGCCCUGACGCGGGAGGAUGUGAAGAUCUGGCUGAUGGGCCUGCAGUGGUUUGUGGCCGACACACAGAAGUCCGCCACGCCCCUGCAGAUCGAACGGUGGUUGAGGAAACAGUUCUACUCGUUGGAUCGUAACCGCGGCAACACUGUGGGCAUGAAGGAGCUAAAAGUCUUCCUGCCAAAUGUCAACUUCAAGGUGCCCAGCAUGCGCUACCUGAGGGACAAGUUCGUGGUGGGUGA